rnacentral:rRNA from 1 species
UACCGGAUAACAACACUAGACGCAUGUCUAGAGUUUAAAAGAAUGGUUCUGCUAUCACUCUUGGAUGGGACCUGCGGUGCAUUAGCUAGUUGGUAAGGGCAACGGCUUACCAAGGCAAUGAUGCAUAGCCGAGUUGAGAGACUGAUCGGCCACAUUGGGACUGAGACACGGCCCAAACUCCUACGGGAGGCAGCAGUAGGGGAAUCUUCCACAAUGGACGCAAGUCUGAUGGAGCAAACGCCGCGUGAGUGAAGAAGGGUUUCGGCUCGUAAAGCUCUGUUGGUAGUGAAGAAAGAUAGAGGUAGUAACUGGCCUUUAUUUGACGGUAAUUACUUAGAAAAGUCACGGGCUAACUACGUGCCCAGCAGCCGCGGGUAAAUA